GUGAGGAAUUUUCCGCAAUGGGCGAAAGCCUGACGGAGCAAUGCCGCGUGAAGGAUGAAGGCCUAUGGGUUGUAAACUUCUUUUCUCAGAAAAGAAUUAUGACGGUAUCUGAGGAAUAAGCAUCGGCUAACUCUGUGCCAGCAGCCGCGGUAAGACAGAGGAUGCAAGCGUUAUCCGGAAUGAUUGGGCGUAAAGCGUCUGUAGGUUGUUUAAAAAGUAUUCUGUCAAAGAUUAGGGCUUAACCCUAGAUAGGCAGAAUAAACUUUUAAGCUAGAGUUUGGUAGAGGCAGAGGGAAUUCCCGGUGGAGCGGUGAAAUGCGUAGAUAUCGGGAGGAACACCAAAGGCGAAGGCACUCUGCUGGGCCAAUACUAACACUGAGAGACGAAAGCGAGGGGAGCAAAUGGGAUUAGAUACUCCAGUAGUCC
rnacentral:rRNA from 1 species